rnacentral:miRNA from 14 species
UGCACCCUGAGAGCUGGAGCAGGUCUCUUACAGGACCUGUGUUCAACUCCGUGGAUGCAG